GUUUCCAUGCUGGUCUGCGGCCUCCGUUACCCACCUGCUGAGGGCGAUCUUCUGGUGGAGCAGAAAGCCCCGCUCGUAGGGCCAGGGCAGGCCGGCCUCGAACCACUCUCGGCAGCGCAGCACGGGCGAGAUGCAGGCGGCGCCUGUCACGUAGCUGGAGGAGCCGCACUCGCCCAGGUCACACCGACAAAUCUGAAGCGGGUUUGCCAGGGGAGUGUACCCGUCUCCCCGGCCUGGGCCA
rnacentral:sRNA from 1 species